rnacentral:rRNA from 1 species
AUUGAACGCUGGCGGCAGGCUUAACACAUGCAAGUCGAACGAGUGGCGGACGGGUGAGUAAUGCUUGGGAAACUACCUGAUGGAGGGGGAUAACUACGGGAAACGGUAGCUAAUACCGCGUACCAUAGGAUGAGCCCAAGUGGGAUUAGCUAGUUGGUGGGGUGAAGGCUCACCAAGCCGACGAUCUCUAGCUGGUCUGAGAGGAUGACAAGGCACACUGUGACUGAGGCACGGUCCAGACUCCUAAGGGAGGAAGCAGUGGGGAAUAUGGCGCAAGGGGCGAAAGCCUGACGGAGCCAUGCCGCGUGGAUGAAGAAGGCCUGCAGGUUGUAAAGUUCUUACGGUAGGGAGGGGUUAACUGCAGAAGAAGCACCGGCUAACUCCGUGCCAGCAGCCGCGGUAAUAC